AUUGAACGCUGGCGGCAUGCCUUACACAUGCAAGUCGAACGGCAGCACGGGUGCUUGCACCUGGUGGCGAGUGGCGAACGGGUGAGUAAUACAUCGGAACAUGUCCUGUAGUGGGGGAUAGCCCGGCGAAAGCCGGAUUAAUACCGCAUACGAUCUACGGAUGAAAGCGGGGGACCUUCGGGCCUCGCGCUAUAGGGUUGGCCGAUGGCUGAUUAGCUAGUUGGUGGGGUAAAGGCCUACCAAGGCGACGAUCAGUAGCUGGUCUGAGAGGACGACCAGCCACACUGGGACUGAGACACGGCCCAGACUCCUACGGGAGGCAGCAGUGGGGAAUUUUGGACAAUGGGCGAAAGCCUGAUCCAGCAAUGCCGCGGGUGUGAAGAAGGCCUUCGGGUUGUAAAGCACUUUUGUCCGGAAAGAAAUCCUUGGCCCUAAUACGGUCGGGGGAUGACGGUACCGGAAGAAUAAGCACCGGCUAACUACGU
rnacentral:rRNA from 1 species